CUACGGGAGGCUCCAGUGAGGGAUAUUGGUCAAUGGGCGCAAGCCUGAACCAGCCAUGCCGCGUGAAGGAUGACGGCCCUACGGGUUGUAAACUUCUUUUGUAAGGGAAGAAACCGCUCUACGUGUAGAGUUUUGACGGUACCUUACGAAUAAGCAUCGGCUAACUCCGUGCCAGCAGCCGCGGUAAUACGGAGGAUGCAAGCGUUAUCCGGAUUUAUUGGGUUUAAAGGGUGCGCAGGCGGAAAAUUAAGUCAGUGAUGAAAUCCUGCAGCUUAACUGUAGAACUGUUAUUGAUACUGGUUUUCUUGAAUAUAGUUGAGGUAGGCGGAAUGUGUAAUGUAGCGGUGAAAUGCUUAGAUAUUACACAGAACACCGAUUGCGAAGGCAGCUUACUAAGCUAUGAUUGACGCUGAGGCACGAAAGCGUGGGGAGCGAACAGGAUUAGAUACCCCGGUAGUC
rnacentral:rRNA from 1 species